rnacentral:tRNA from 1 species
GAUCCCGUAGCUCAGCAGGAUAGAGCGACAGAUUCCUAAUCUGUAGGUCGUGCGUUCGAAUCGCAUCGGGGUCACCA